CUUUUGUCGAGAGCGAAGGGGAGGCGGAUGGAACGCUCCGGGGAGUGGCCUUCAAAGCGCCGGGCUCGCGCAUUUCGCUUGGCCGGGAGGCGGCGCCAGGCUGCCCCGCCGCUCUCCCUUGGAAAGCCCGCGGCUUCGGGGCCUACCUCCGGAACUGAGGCCUUCGUGGGGGAGGCACCUAAAGCAGACUUUGGGGGUACGGAAGGCUAGAACUGACGUCGAUUACGG